rnacentral:rRNA from 1 species
UACGUAGGUGGCAAGCGUUAUCCGGAUUUAUUGGGUUUAAAGGGUGCGUAGGCGGGAGAUUAAGUCAGUGGUGAAAUCCUGCAGCUUAACUGUAGAACUGCCAUUGAUACUGAUUUUCUUGAGUGCGGUUGAAGUAGGCGGAAUGUGUAAUGUAGCGGUGAAAUGCUUAGAUAUUACACAGAACACCGAUUGCGUAGGCAGCUUACUAAGCCGAAACUGACGCUGAGGCACGAAAGCGUGGGGAGCAAACAGG